CGGGAUAUGGCGCAGCUUGGUAGCGCACUCGCUUUGGGAGCGAGGGGUCGUGGGUUCAAAUCCCGCUAUCCCGA
rfam:Corynebacterium variabile DSM 44702, complete genome.